AUUGAACGCUGGCGGCAUGCCUUACACAUGCAAGUCGAACGGCAGCACGGGUGCUUGCACCUGGUGGCGAGUGGCGAACGGGUGAGUAAUGCAUCGGAACGUACCUUAUCGUGGGGGAUAACGCAGCGAAAGCUGUGCUAAUACCGCAUACGCCCUGAGGGGGAAAGCGGGGGAUCGAAAGACCUCGCGCGAUUAGAGCGGCCGAUGCCUGAUUAGCUUGUUGGUGGGGUAAAAGCCCACCAAGGCGACGAUCAGUAGCUGGUCUGAGAGGACGAUCAGCCACACUGGGACUGAGACACGGCCCAGACUCCUACGGGAGGCAGCAGUGGGGAACUUUGGACAAUGGGGGCAACCCUGAUCCAGCAAUGCCGCGUGAGUGAAGAAGGCCUUCGGGUUGUAAAGCUCUUUUGUCAGGGAAGAAACACCGGCUCUAACACAGUCCGGGAAUGACGGUACCUGAAGAAUAAGCACCGGCUAACUACGUGCCAGCCGCCGCAGUAA
rnacentral:rRNA from 1 species